CCCUUAGAUGUCCGGGGCCGCACGCGCGCUACACUGAAGGAAUCAGCGUGGCUUUCUCCCUGACCCGAAAGGGUUGGGAAACCCGUUGAAUCUCCUUCGUGAUAGGGAUUGGGGCUUGAAAUUGUUCCUCAUGAACGAGGAAUUCCCAGUAAGCGCGAGUCAUAAGCUCGCGUUGAUUACGUCCCUGCCCUUUGUACACACCGCCCGUCGCUACUACCGAUUGAACGGUUUAGUGAGGGCCUCGGAUUGGUCUCGGCCCGCUCUUUACCGGGCGGCGCCGUUGGUCGAGAAGACGCUCGAACUUGAUUGUUUAGAGGAAGUAAAAGUCGUAACA
rnacentral:rRNA from 1 species